rnacentral:tRNA from 1 species
UCCCUGGUGGCUCAGAUGGUAAAGCAUCUGUCUACAAUGCAGGAGACCCAGAUUCGAUCCCUGGGUGGGGAA